rnacentral:lncRNA from 1 species
CGCACAUGCUAGCAGCUGUGGCCCUGCAGCUGAGCACAGGCCAACCUGGGAGGACCUGGAGAAGUUCAAAGCCCUCCGCAUCAUCGUCCGGAUUGGCAGUGGUUUUGACAACAUCGACAUCAAGUCGGCCGGGGAUUUAGGCAUUGCCGUCUGCAACGUGCCCGCGGCGUCUGUGGAGGAGACGGCCGACUCGACGCUGUGCCACAUCCUGAACCUGUACCGGCGGGCCACCUGGCUGCACCAGGCGCUGCGGGAGGGCACACGAGUCC